rnacentral:lncRNA from 1 species
AAAUAAAAAGCUAAUAUAUUUACUAAAAUUAUCCUCCUUGCAUUUAACUUCGUUUCGCUUUUUUAAUUUUUCUUGAAACCAAAUUUUGGCAUAUUUUUCAUCUAAUAAAUAAAGAUACCUCAAUUCUAACACCCAGAAAAAUAUUUUUUAGCAUAACUAUAUUAAAUCACUUACAUUUGUAAUUUUUUGCAUGCUCUGGCCUGACAUCUUCCGAAAUGAUAAUACCAUCCAUGGUAACACAAUUUAUACGGGCGCAGCCAUAUUUUUUCAUGAGACGGACUAACACCAUAGACGGUCCGUUUAGUGAGCGGACGAAACUCACUCUCGUCCAAGUCACGGGAAAAACGAAACACGUCAGUGACAUUCACGAGAAUAAAUGUACAACUUCGUCCCUCUCCAGUCUGACCAGUGAGAAAACCGUCCAAUAAAGAAACACACCCAUAGAAAGUAAUUCGGAAAAAGAGAAAUACAGCUUGUUCACAUGCCAACGUGAUUUCGAAAUUUAGAACUUUCUACAACCAGUUUACUGCAACUACUGCGCAUGCCUACAGUAAUUAAUUACAUUUCCAGUUCAUUAGAUGGCAGAAUUAUCGACAGGCACGCAAAAUACACUUCCGUUUCGUCUCCAUGUAUUCUUACUCCGUGGCUACAAUCCUGACAUAUCAGAAAAAGUUGCAUUA